UACAGAGGUCUCAAGCGUUGUUCGGAUUCAUUGGGCGUAAAGGGUGUGUAGGUGGCGCCGUAAGUCGGGUGUGAAAUUUCGGAGCUUAACUCCGAAACUGCAUUCGAUACUGCGGUGCUUGAGGACUGGAGAGGAGACUGGAAUUCAUGGUGUAGCAGUGAAAUGCGUAGAGAUCAGGAGGAACACCGGUGGCGAAGGCGGGUCUCUGGGCAGUAACUGACGCUGAGAAGCGAAAGCGUGGGGAGCGAACAGG
rnacentral:rRNA from 1 species